UUUUCAAAUUUCCUUCUUUUUUGUUACCCCUUUACUAAGUGUGAUAAAGGGACAAACACAACAUAAUCAUCUACUUAAGUGUUAUAUAUAUACAAUAUUUUUUUUUAUCUUUUUUUUAGUGUUACUCCUUUACUUCGUGUGAUAAAAGGGUAAACACAACAUAUUCAUCUACUUAAGUGUUCAAUACAAACACACAACAAUAUUACAUGACCUUAAUACACUAUAAAUUGACUAAAUCAUAUUCUAUUUGGUACAACAAAGAAAAAUAUGGCUAGAACUCUCAAGUUUGUUUAUUCUAUGAUUUUAUUUCUUUCCCUGUUUCUUGUUGCCAACGGGUAAAAAUUUUCUGUAUAGAUGUGGCUGAUUGUCCAAAGGAUUUGUAUCCUUUACUUUAUAAGUGCAUUUACAACAAAUGUAUAGUGUUUACGAGGAUUCCGUUUCCUUUUGAUUGGAUAUAAGUAUCUCGCCGAAGAGGGUACACAAACGCCAUGCAAGGAGGAGUGAGUUCUUGCACUAGCAAAAAAUCUAUGCAACAUACCUUAUAGUUAUACCGUGAGUUGCCAUUUAAUCUUUUUAGUAGCAUCCAAUAAUUGUAUCUUUUAUUUUUUUUCUUUUUACAACUUCAUGGAUGUUGAAACUAUGACUCUACACUCAAAGAUGUUGAUAAUAAAAUGAAAUUAGGCACUAAAUAAUAUUAUAACUGAAUUGUGUCUUAUCUUAUUUUUGAAUGUAUCACCAUUGUGAGAUUUGGUAGACUUUGAUGUUUUCAAAUGCAUCGAGAACUGGGAUCUCAGCUUCUCUGCCAUGUGAUUUGAGCAACAAAAGAUGAACUUAGUUUUAUUUCAUCAUUAUUUGCUUGUAGUAACCACUCCAUAUCUUCCAUGGUGAAUUUUCACUACUUAUGAACAACCUAUCUAGCCGAAAACAAGAAUUAAAACAACAUUACAAGAAUUUCUGGUUAUAGAGAAAUUGAUUGCAAACAAACCACAAUUGCUUAAAUAAUCGGCAAGAACCGACAAGGCGAAGUAGUGCUGCUACCAUGGGAUUAACAAACUUUAUGUGGAAUAAAAUUUUAUAAGAACAACGCUUUUAAAAAACUUUUAUGGAGAUUUGAUAAAAACAAGUUUUAUUGAAAUUUGCUUGAACAAUCACAAACAAUGAAUUAACAAAUGUCAAAUAUAUGUUGAAUAAAAUUUUAUCUUAGAUUAAGAGAUUCACGAUACAAAUCUUUUGUCACAAUCAAUUAUUAACAAUCCUUAAACAAGAUACAAAACAAUAUACAAUUUCAAACCAAAUCUAUAUGACAAUAAACCUAAUUAUCAAUUGAAAACACAAAACACAUGAAUUUGAUUAAUUGAAUUGGUAUUGCAAUUAAUUGAUCCAAUAUGAAGUUGUUUUAACCUAAAUCAAAAGGAUUUAGAUUAAUCUAUUGAGAAAAUACUACUUAGAUCAAAACUAGCAAUUCACUAAUCAAUUAUUCAAAUAAGCAAGUGCUAUAUCAAAAGUAGAGAGAGAGAGAGAGAGAGAGAACACCAAUGUUUAUAGUAGUUACUUCAAAUUAAAGCACUAAUUCUUCACCUCCAAUGUAAAAUAAACCUCCCCCAAACUUCAAGUACCCCUUGAAUUUGGUGCUCCUUGAAUCUUCGGAUCCUUGAAUUACCCGUGCACUCCUUCGAUCUCUUCACUCGAGUCUUCAAUGCUACGUCCGGUAAAAGAACCCCCUUCGAUAUCAAGAACGGUUAGAAAGACCCCUAAGUCCUUUGGAAGUGGAAUGAGAUUAUUCACUUCCUUUGAAGCCUUGAUUAAGCCCAAUCAAUCUUCUUGAGAGAACCAACU
rnacentral:lncRNA from 1 species